rnacentral:rRNA from 1 species
GGGUGAGUAACACGUGAGUAAUCUGCCCCCGGCUCGGGCAUAGCCCCGGGAAACCGGGAUUAAUACCGGACGGUGCUGUGCGGCCGCAUGGCUGCGCAGUCAAAGAUUGAGUUCGGCCGGGGAUGAGCUCGCGUCCCAUUAGCUUGUCGGUGAGGUAACGGCUCACCGAGGCGAAGACGGGUAGCUGGUCUGAGAGGAUGGUCAGCCACACUGGGACUGAGACACUGCCCAGACUCCUACGGGAGGCUGCAGUCGAGAAUCUUCCGCAAUGGGCGCAAGCCUGACGGAGCGAUGCCGCGUGAGGGAUGACGGCCUUCGGGUUGUAAACCUCUGUCAGAGGGGACGAAGCAUGUGACGGUACCCUCAGAGGAAGCCACGGCUAACUACGUGCCAGCAGCCGCGGUAACACGUAGGUGGCGAGCGUUAUUCGGAUUUACUGGGCGUAAAGGGUCCGCAGGGUGUCUGUCAAGUCUGGUGUGAAACUCCGCAGCUCAACUGCGGACGUGCACUGGAAACUGGCGGACUAGAGUCCACGAUGGGAGAACGGAAUUCCUGGUGUAGCGGUGGAAUGCGUAGAUAUCAGGAAGAACACCGGCGGCGAAGGCGGUUCUCUGGCGUGGUACUGACCCUCAAGGACGAAAGCGUGGGUAGCGAACAGGAUUAGAUACCCUGGUAGUCCACGCAGUAAUCGUUGUGCACUAGAUGUGGGGAGUACGUUAGGUCCUCUCAGUGUCCAAGUUAACUCGAUAAGUGCUCUGCGUGGGGACUACGGCCGCAAGGCUAUAACUCAAAGGAAUUGUCGGGGGCCCGCACAAGCGGUGGAGCAUGUGGCUUAAUUUGAGGCAACGCGUAGUACCUUACCCGGAUCUGUCAUAUGUCCGACCGCCCCGGAGACGGGGUUUUCUCUUCGGAGACGGACAUACAGGUGCUGCAUGGCUGUCGUCAGCUCGUGCCGUGAGGUGUUCGGUUAAUGUCCGGCAACGAGCGCAACUCGUGUCGUCAGUUGC